rnacentral:rRNA from 1 species
AUUACUGAGUUGUUGGNUGANCUGUUGCUGGUCCUCAAACNUUGGGGGCAUGUGCNCGCUCUGUUCACACNUCCNCUCACACCUGUGCACCCUCUGUAGUUCUAUGGNCUGGCGGACACCUGUCUUCCUCCUGUACUUCUACUUUUUUACACNCNCACCGUAUGANAGUCUUNUGGAAUGUGCGCCGCGUAUAACGCANUACANUACAACUUUCAGCAACGGAUCUCUUGGCUCUCGCAUCGAUGAAGAACGCAGCGAANUGCGAUAAGUAAUGUGAAUUGCAGAAUUCAGAGAAUCAUCGAAUCUUUGAACGCACCUUGCGCCCCUUGGCUAUUCCGAGGGGCAUGCCUGUUUGAGUAUCAUGAACAUCUCAUCUCUCACGCUUUGCCGAGAUGAGCUUGGACUUUUGGGGGUUUUGCUGGCCCUAUGGUCAGCUCCUCUAAGACGGAUCAGCUUGCCAGUGUUUGGUGGCAUCACAGGUGUGAUAACUAUCUACGCUUGGGAUUGUCUGCCAAGUAACCUUCGUUGACGGAGGUUCGCUGGAGCUUAUAAACGUCUCUCCUCAGCGAAGACAGCUUUUUGACCGUUCGAUCUCAAAUCAGGUAGGACUACCCGCUGAACUUAAGCAUAUCAAUAAGCGGAGGAAAAGAAACUAACAAGGAUUCCCCUAGUAACUGCGAGUGAAGCGGGAAGAGCUCAAAUUUAAAAUCUGGCGUGCCUCUGGUCGUCCGAGUUGUAGUCUGGAGAAGUGUUUUCCGUGUUGGACCGNGUAUAAGUCUCUUGGAACAGGGCGUCAUAGAGGGUGAGAAUCCCGUCUUUGACACGGACUACCAAUGCUUUGUGAUGCGCUCUCAAAGAGUCGAGUUGUUUGGGAAUGCAGCUCAAAAUGGGUGGUAAAUUCCAUCUAAAGCUAAAUAUAGGCGAGAGACCGAUAGCGAACAAGUACCGNGAGGGAAAGAUGAAAAGCACUUUGGAAAGAGAGUUAAACAGUACGUGAAAUUGAUGAAAGGGAAACGCUUGAAGUCAGUNGUGUCUGCCAGGACUCAGCCUCGCUUNUGCUUGGNGUACNUUCNGGUCGGAUGGGCCAACAUCAAUUUCGCCCGCNGGAAAAAGGCGUUGGGAAUGUGGCACCUUCGGGUGUGUUAUAGCCCUUUGUUGUAUACAACGGUUGGGAUUGAGGACUGCAGCACGCCUU